rnacentral:rRNA from 1 species
UACGUAGGGGGCUAGCGUUGUCCGGAUUUAUUGGGCGUAAAGAGCGUGUAGGCGGCCAGGUAGGUCUGGUGUGAAAACUCGAGGCUCAACCUCGAGACGUCGGCGGAAACCAUCUGGCUAGAGUCCGGAAGAGGAGAGUGGAAUUCCUGGUGUAGCGGUGAAAUGCGUAGAUAUUGGAAAGAACACCGAUGGCGAAGGCACUCUACUGGGCUAUUACUGACACUCAGAGACGAAAGCUAGGGGAGCAAAUGGG